CAUAUGGAAGAAAAGACACAAUAUUACUAAGAUAUCAAUUCUUUCCAUAGUUAUCUAUAGAUUCAAUGCAAUCCCAAUCAAAAGCCAAGCAGGAUUUUU